ACUGGUUGAUCCUGCCAGUAGUCAUAUGCUUGUCUUAAAGAUUAAGCCAUGCAGGUGUAAGAUCAUAUCUAUGAAUGGUGAAUCCGCGAAUGGCUCAUUAAAUCAGUUAUAAUUUAAUAGGAUGUGAUUCGUUAAUUGGAUAACUGUGGUAAUUCUAGAGCUAAUACAUGCAUAUACGGCUGAACUUUGUUUGGCUGUGCUUUUAUUAGUGCAAACCAGGCCUUCGGGCUGCAAAAUGGUGACUCUGAAUAACUUUGCUGAGCAUUUGGACCUUGUGUCAGUGCUAUUCCUUUAAAGUAUCUGCUCUAUCAACUGUCGAUGGUAUAUUAUAUGUUUACCAUGGUUGUAACGGGUAACGGGGAAUUAGGGUUCGAUUCCGGAGAGGGAGCCUGAGAAACGGCUACCACAUCUAAGGAAGGCAGCAGGCGCGCAAAUUACCCAAUCCCGGCUCGGGGAGGUAGUGACAAAAAAUAACAAUGCGGGACUCUUAUGAGGCUUCGUAAUUGGAAUGAGUACAUUCUAAAUCCUUUAACGAGGAACUAUUGGAGGGCAAGUCUGGUGCCAGCAGCCGCGGUAAUUCCAGCUCCAAUAGCGUAUAUUAAAGUUGUUGCGUCUAAAAAGCUCGUAGUUUGAAAACUUGCCUUGGCUUACAACAGACGUCUAAGGGCGUCACCGUUUGUCGAGAGCAAAUAUGGGUGACUGUUCUUGCCUUCUUCACUGAUUGGCUCGUAAAAGUCAUCGAAGAUCACUUUGAUUAAAUUAGGGUGCUCAAAGCAAGUGUGCUACUUGAAUAUGAAUGCAUGGAAUGAUGGAAUAUGUUGUAGUUCUACUUGUUGGUUUUUUGAAUGACGAAAUGAUUGAAAGGAACUGUUGGGGGCAUUCGUAUUGUUGUGAGAGAGGUGAAAUUCUUAGACCAUAGCAAGACGAACUACUGCGAAAGCAUUUGCCAAGAAUGUUUUCAUUGAUCAAGAACGAAAGUUAGAGGUUCGAAGGCGAUCAGAUACCGCCCUAGUUCUAACCAUAAACUAUGCCGACUAGCAAUUUGCUUUGUAUUUUUAUGACUAAGUGAGAGGCCACGGGAAACCAAAGUAGGGUUAUGGGGGAAGUAUGGUUGCAAAGCUGAAACUUAAAGGAAUUGACGGAAGGGCACCACCAGGAGUGGAGCCUGCGGCUUAAUUUGACCCAACACGGGAAAACUUACCUGGUCCUGACACUAGAAGGAUUGACAGAUUGAUAGCUCUUUCUUGAUUUGGUGGAUGGUGGUGCAUGGCCGUUCUUAGUUGGUGGAGUGAUUUGUCUGGUUAAUUCCGAUAACGAACGAGACUCCAGCCUAUUAAAUAAUAUGCG
rnacentral:rRNA from 1 species